rnacentral:snoRNA from 1 species
UCCCAAGCCUCAUACAAGCUUUCUUGAUCAUGAUGGGCAAAAGUAAUAAUCUCAUUUCUUAGUUU